AGGAUUAACGCUGGCGGCGUGCAUGAAACAUGCAAGUCGAGCGCGGUGUGAUGCGGGGUAACCCAAUUCACAUCUAGCGGCGAACGGGUGAGUAACACGUGAGCAACCUACCUUUGAGUUGGGGAUAGCCCUGGGAAACCAGGAUUAAUACCCGAUGUGGUCACAACAGGACAUCCUGAUGUGAGUAAAGGCGCAAGCCGCUCAAUGACGGGCUCGCGGCCUAUUAGCUUGUUGGUGGGGUAACGGCCUACCAAGGCGAUGAUGGGUAGCUGGUCUGAGAGGACGAUCAGCCACACUGGGACUGAGACACGGCCCAGACUCCUACGGGAGGCAGCAGUUAGGAAUUUUCCGCAAUGGGCGAAAGCCUGACGGAGCAACGCCGCGUGAGUGAUGAAGACCUUAGGGUUGUAAAGCUCUGUCGGAGGGAAGAACACAAUGACGGUACCCUCCAAGAAACGCCCGGACUAACUACGCGCCAGCAGCCGCGGUAA
rnacentral:rRNA from 1 species